UACGUAGGGGGCAAGCGUUGUCCGGAUUUAUUGGGCGUAAAGAGCUCGUAGGUGGUUCGGUAAGUCGGAUGUGAAAUCUCCAGGCUCAACCUGGAGGGGUCAUUCGAUACUGCCGUGACUAGAGGUCGGUAGGGGAGUGUGGAAUUCCUGGUGUAGCAGUGAAAUGCGUAGAGAUCUGGAGGAACACCGAUGGCGAAGGCAGCCCCCUGGGCUAACACUGACGCUCAUGCACGAAAGCGUGGGGAGCAAACAGG
rnacentral:rRNA from 1 species